GACGGAGGAUGCAAGCGUUAUCCGGAAUUAUCGGGCGUAAAGCGUCCGCAGGUGGCAGUUCAAGUCUGCUGUCAAAGACCGGGGCUUAACUUCGGAAAGGCAGUGGAAACUGAACAGCUAGAGUAUGGUAGGGGCAGAGGGAAUUCCUGGUGUAGCGGUGAAAUGCGUAGAGAUCAGGAAGAACAUCGGUGGCGAAGGCGCUCUGCUGGACCAUAACUGACACUCAGGGACGAAAGCUAGGGGAGCGAAUGGG
rnacentral:rRNA from 1 species